rnacentral:rRNA from 1 species
GACGAACGCUGGCGGCGUGCUUAACACAUGCAAGUCGAACGGAAAGGCCCUGCUUUUGUGGGGUGCUCGAGUGGCGAACGGGUGAGUAACACGUGAGUAACCUGCUCUUGACUUUGGGAUAACUUCAGGAAACUGGGGCUAAUACCGGAUAGGAGCUCCUGCUGCAUGGUGGGGGUUGGAACGUUUCGGCGGUUGGGGAUGGACUCGCGGCUUACCAGCUUGUUGGUGGGGUAGUGGCUUACCAAGGCUUUGACGGGUAGCCGGCCUGGGAGGGUGGACGGCCACAUUGGGACUGAGAUACGGACCAGACUGCUACGGGAGGCAGCAGUGGGGAAUAUUGCACAAUGGGCGGAAGCCUGAUGCAGCAACGCCGCGUGCGGGAUGACGGCCUUCGGGUUGUAAACCGCUUUCGCCUGUGACGAAGCGUGAGUGACGGUAAUGGGUAAAGAAGCACCGGCUAACUACGUG